UGGACGAGCUCACUCUCCUUGAAGGG
rnacentral:misc_RNA from 1 species